rnacentral:pre_miRNA from 1 species
GAUGCACCCAGUGGGGGAGCCAGGAAGUAUUGAUGUUUCUGCCAGUUUAACGUCAACACUUGCUGGUUUCCUCUCUGGAGCAUC